ensembl:ncRNA lncRNA:Hsromega Heat shock RNA omega
UCACUCUCAAAUGAAAAGUGUUCAAGUGCAUUCAAAGUGAAGCUGAAAAAAUAACCAGUUAAAAAUAGUACAAAGAAAUUUUCUUUCUUGCAAUUUGCAAGCAGUAGCUACAACCAAAAAUGGAAAAGUGUAAAAAUCGUGUCCCAGCAGACGAGCAGCAGCAGUACGAGUAUUGCAAAAUGCAGGGGCAAGGGCCCACGUAGUAUUUUUCCACGUCGGGCAUUUAAUGCUCUCGAGUUGGAAACAAUGAAACCAUACGCAAACCCCCUGGAAAAGAUGUGAUUAGUCAUCGAUUUUGCUGGUCAGCGUCGGGGAAUUUCGCAAUGCAGCAGGCAGUUUUCUCAAAUUUGGCUAGAAAGUGACCCACUAGGCAGUCUGAGGCAGUUAUCCAGGAUGUAAGGAUGUGUGCAGUACUCUCUGUGUCGAAUGGCGAUGGCCCUGACCUGCGGAUUUUGAAAGAUUGAAAUAGGAAGCCAGGUAUACAUACACAGCAACGAAUGCAGCGUGUUCUAUAUUCUUAAUUCGUAAGCCAAACCUAUGUUUAAGACGUAGUUUAUAUAACCGUACAUAUGUAUGUAGCGAAACACGUUUUCAAACGUCGCAUCGAAGCCAUUUCUUCUGCAGCCAUUGCAAUUUCAUCGUGUUGCGUAAUCGCAAAUUGUAAAUGUGUCCCUACUACUUCACAUUUGUGUGUAUCCAAGUCGAAAGUUCUCGAACUAUUCUCGUGAGCAACCCCCGGAUCGAAAGGCCACCAACUGGCUCGUUCUCUCUCUCCAGAAACAGCUUACUCUUACGUUUACAAUUGACUCUCUACCUAUCGGGUAUACACAUUUUUAUAUAUGUAUACACUCAGAGACACCCCAAUCCCCCACCAUACAUAUGGCGAGAUGUGUGAAUGUAUCGCAGUUGGACGAAAACGGCAGCUGCGCAGAAAACGCUGCGGCGUACAUACAAACGAGCUCUUUGUUUGCCUUUCCCCAGUUUUGCUUCCCCAUACGUAUAACUGGUGUUUAUCAGCGGUAAUCUCGCCAGCCUGACUUUGUCCCUGUCGCUUCUAUUGACAUUCUAAACUAGAUUGUAGACGUUUUAACAUUUACCUAGCUGUUAAUCUUAUUUGUAAACAUCUCUAUAUGCAACCUGCCAUACCACUUAACCAAGCAAUAUGUAUUUCUUUCUCUAAACUUUAUAGUUGGGCGUUGAAAGUUGAUAUCGAUAUCGAUCCGUGAAAAGUCGAUACCCUGCGCAAGCAUGGGGCGGCAUAUGGGUGCUGAAAACGCACUCGGCCCGAUCCCGAUUGCAGCGUUAUUCGAAAGCUGUGUCUGCGACCGUGACUGAGAUCAUAUGCGUACAUAUAUCUAAUGUCCGGGGUCGUAGGCCAGCCAGGGUGCUCGAUUCUGUCAGAUUGAUUGUGCGGAUUGUGUUAUAGGAACACUGGUGUAUCGACUUCUCUGCUCCACUAUGGGUGAAGGAUACCCUACCGAAAAGGCCUUCUGUCGCUUACUAUCAUCGAACAAGUUCCGUAAAGGGCAGACAUACGUACACGUGGCAGCAUAUUACGUUCAAUGACACAUCGUCUCUGGAUUAGUAGUUGAACCAACGAGCUCGAAUAUACCCUGCCAGUUGGUUGUAAAUAUUAAUUUUGUUCUUAUAUUCAGUUGUAAAGUCAAUACGGAAGACAUUUCCACACCAACCAUGUGUCACUUAUGUUCUUAAAUACCAGAAACUGUUUAAAUUUUUGUUCUUAUACACUUCACCAAUUAAGAAUUACCUGUACUGAUGUAAGUGUACCUGUUGAAUCACAACAAAAAUAGAAAAAAUGAAUAACAAAAGAGCUCUAUAACAGAAAAGCCACAGAAAAAGUGAAUAAAAAUUCAAAAAUUCAAAAAAUAAAUUUCGAAACAUUUGCUCGUGAUAUUUUUAUUUCAAGAAAAGAUCCGAUUUCAGUUAUACCAUCUAGCUUAAAUUUAGCGUUACGAGAAUAGUCCCUCGGAGGAAAGGCCCUUUAUCAAGAUGCCAAUAUCGUUCGUCCUAUACACAAAUUACUCACGUUAUGAAACCAAGUCGAAAAAUCGGACAAAGUGUCUACAAUUGAGGAAAGGUCUAUUGAUCUCCUGUGAGCGCAAAAAGUUUGUAUUCGAACGAGAAUUUUAAGGUUUAAAAUCAGCUGAAAAGUACGUAUAUUCCGCAUUUAUUUUUCUCCACAUUUUUAGGAUCAGAACAUCAGAACUAUAUUUUUUUGGAAAAAUCAACGGAUAUUAUUUUGUUUGGAGGUCCCAAAUUCUAUACACCUUCACACAUAUUUUUGCAUACAAAAAAACCUAAAAAUAAUAUUAUUGAAUGGCAAAAAAAACCAUUUAUAACAUGAAAAUUACUCGAAGUACUUCAAUUUAAUUACCGAACCAAAAUAUAUACACGUACGACUCGUGUUGGACGAGAUUACAUUAAGAGAACUUUGAAAAAUAAUAAAAAAAGGUUUGAAAUUGAAAACUGUAAAGUAUAAUAUUCGUAAUAAGGAAUUUAUAAAGAUAAAUAACCACAACAAAAUGAACCACAAUAAUAUGAAACCAUGAACAAUAGGUAUGAUUUAUGUCGAUUAGCCUCUUGGUAAAAUAAACUUAAAAUCCAUAUAGGUGUGUGUUAUAAAACUGCCCCAAUUCAAAAUUGCGUCUCGUAAUAAACCAAAAGUACAUCGUACAACUGCAACAUGACCCGCAAUUAUUUGAACUCUUUAACAAUAGGUUUCAUUUACUCCGAUUACCCCAAUCACAAUCUUUCGAAAAGGCUUAGCCUCUUGGUAAAAUACCCUUAAAAUCCAUAUAAGUAGGGUGUGAUAUAAAACUAUCCCAAUUCAAAAUCGCGUCACAUAAUAAACAACAAAUUAAAGCAUCUUAAAGGGUCUAAUUUUUAGGACAUAUUAAUUUACUUAAUAGGUAGGAAUUGAACAUACGGUAUUUUUAUAUGGUAUAUCUUAACAACUGCAACAUGACCCACACUUUUAUGAACUCUUUAAUAAUGGUUAUUAUAAAACCCGAUUACCUUAAUCAUUAUCCUUCGAAAAGGACAUGCAACAUGACCCACACUUUUAUGAACUCUUUAAUAAUGGUUUUGAUAAAACCCGAUUACCUUAAUCAUCAUCCUUCGAAACGGCUUAUCCUCUUGGUAAAAUACACUUAAAAUCCAUAUAGGUAGGGUGUGAUAUAAAACGUUCCCAAUUCAAAAUCGCGUCACAUAAUAAACAAAAAGUUAAAGCAUCUUAAAAGGACUGAUAUAUAGGACAUAUUAAUUUACUUAAUAGGUAGGAAUUGAACAUACGGUAUUUUUAUAUGGUAUAUCUUAACAACUGCAACAUGACCCACACUUUUAUGAACUCUUUAAUAAUGGUUAUUAUAAAACCCGAUUACCUUAAUCAUUAUCCUUCGAAAAGGCUUAUCCUCUUGGUAAAAUACACUUAAAAUCCAUAUAGGUAGGGUGUGAUAUAAAACGUUCCCAAUUCAAAAUCGCGUCACAUAAUAAACAAAGAGUUAAAGCAUCUUAAAAGGACUGAUAUAUAGGACAUAUUAAUUUACUUAAUAGGUAGGAAUUGAACAUACGGUAUUUUUAUAUGGUAUAUCUUAACAACUGCAACAUGACCCACACUUUUAUGAACUCUUUAAUAAUGGUUUUGAUAAAACCCGAUUACCUUAAUCAUCAUCCUUCGAAAACUCUUAUCCUCUUGGUAAAAUACACUUAAAAUCUAUAUAGGUAGGGUGUGAUAUAAAACGUUCCCAAUUUAAAAUCGCGUCACAUAAUAAACAAGAAAUUAAAGCAUCUUAAAGGGUCUAAUUUUUAGGACAUAUUAAUUUACUUAAUAGGUAGGAAUUGAACAUACGGUAUUUUUAUAUGGUAUAUCUUAACAACUGCAACAUGACCCACACUUUUAUGAACUCUUUAAUAAUGGUUUUGAUAAAACCCGAUUACCUUAAUCAUUAUCCUUCGAAAAGGCUUAUCCUCUUGGUAAAAUACACUUAAAAUCCAUAUAGGUAGGGUGUGAUAUAAAACGUUCCCAAUUCAAAAUCGCGUCACAUAAUAAACAAAGAGUUAAAGCAUCUUAAAAGGACUGAUAUAUAGGACAUAUUAAUUUACUUAAUAGGUAGGAAUUGAACACACGCUAUUUUUAUAUGGUAUAUCUUAACAACAGCAACAUGACCCACACUUUUAUGAACUCUUUAAUAAUGGUUUUGAUAAAACCCGAUUACCUUAAUCAUUAUCCUUCGAAAAGGCUUAUCCUCUUGGUAAAAUACACUUAAAAUCCAUAUAGGUAGGGUGUGAUAUAAAACGUUCCCAAUUCAAAAUCGCGUCACAUAAUAAACAAAGAGUUAAAGCAUCUUAAAAGGACUGAUAUAUAGGACAUAUUAAUUUACUUAAUAGGUAGGAAUUGAACAUACGGUAUUUUUAUAUGGUAUAUCUUAACAACUGCAACAUGACCCACACUUAUGAACUCUUUAAUAAUGGUUAUUAUAAAACCCGAUUACCUUAAUCAUUAUCCUUCGAAAAGGCUUAUCCUCUUGGUAAAAUACACUUAAAAUCUAUAUAGGUAGGGUGUGAUAUAAAACGUUCCCAAUUCAAAAUCGCGUCACAUAAUAAACAAAGAGUUAAAGCAUCUUAAAAGGACUGAUAUAUAGGACAUAUUAAUUUACUUAAUAGGUAGGAAUUGAACAUACGGUAUUUUUAUAUGGUAUAUCUUAACAACUGCAACAUGACCCACACUUUUAUGAACUCUUUAAUAAUGGUUUUGAUAAAACCCGAUUACCUUAAUCAUUAUCCUUCGAAAAGGCUUAUCCUCUUGGUAAAAUACACUUAAAAUCCAUAUAGGUAGGGUGUGAUAUAAAACGUUCCCAAUUCAAAAUCGCGUCACAUAAUAAACAAAGAGUUAAAGCAUCUUAAAAGGACUGAUAUAUAGGACAUAUUAAUUUACUUAAUAGGUAGGAAUUGAACACACGCUAUUUUUAUAUGGUAUAUCUUAACAACUGCAACAUGACCCACACUUUUAUGAACUCUUUAAUAAUGGUUAUGAUAAAACCCGAUUACCUUAAUCAUUAUCCUUCGAAAAGGCUUAUCCUCUUGGUAAAAUACACUUAAAAUCCAUAUAGGUAGGGUGUGAUAUAAAACGUUCCCAAUUCAAAAUCGCGUCGCAUAAUAAACAAAAAGUUAAAGCAUCUUAAAAGGACUGAUAUAUAGGACAUAUGAAUUUACUUAAUAGGUAGGAAUUGAACAUACGGUAUUUUUAUAUGGUAUAUCUUAACAACUGCAACAUGACCCACACUUUUAUGAACUCUUUAAUAAUGGUUAUGAUAAAACCCGAUUACCUUAAUCAUUAUCCUUCGAAAAGGCUUAUCCUCUUGGUAAAAUACACUUAAAAUCCAUAUAGGUAGGGUGUGAUAUAAAACGUUCCCAAUUCAAAAUCGCGUCACAUAAUAAACAAAGAGUUAAAGCAUCUUAAAAGGACUGAUAUAUAGGACAUAUUAAUUUACUUAAUAGGUAGGAAUUGAACACACGGUAUUUUUAUAUGGUAUAUCUUAACAACUGCGACAUGACCCACAAUUUUAUGAACUUAACAAUAGGUUUUAUUUAUCCCGAUUACCCCAAUCACUAUCCUUCGAAAAGGCUUAUCCUCUUGGUAAAAUACACUUAAAAUCCAUAUAGGUAGGGUGUGAUAUAAAACGUUCCCAAUUCAAAAUCGCGUCACAUAAUAAACAAGAAAUUAAAGCAUCUUAAAGGGUCUAAUUUUUAGGACAUAUUAAUUUACUUAAUAGGUAGGCAUUGAACAUACGGUAUUUUUAUAUGGUAUAUCUUAACAACUGCAACAUGACCCACACUUUUAUGAACUCUUUAAUAAUGGUUAUUAUAAAACCCGAUUACCUUAAUCAUUAUCCUUCGAAAAGGACAUGCAACAUGACCCACACUUUUAUGAACUCUUUAAUAAUGGUUUUGAUAAAACCCGAUUACCUUAAUCAUUAUCCUUCGAAAAGGCUUAUCCUCUUGGUAAAAUACACUUAAAAUCCAUAUAGGUAGGGUGUGAUAUAAAACGUUCCCAAUUCAAAACCGCGUCACAUAAUAAACAAAAAGUUAAAGCAUCUUAAAAGGACUGAUUUAUAGGACAUAUUAAUUUACUUAAUAGGUAGGAAUUGAACAUACGGUAUUUUUAUAUGGUAUAUCUUAACAACUGCGACAUGACCCACAAUUUUAUGAACUUAACAAUAGGUUUUAUUUAUCCCGAUUACCCCAAUCAUUAUCCUUCGAAAAGGCUUAUCCUCUUGGUAAAAUACACUUAAAAUCCAUAUAGGUAGGGUGUGAUAUAAAACAUUCCCAAUUCAAAAUCGCGUCUCGUAAUAAACAAGAAAUUAAAGCAUCUUAAAGGGUCUAAUUUUUAGGACAUACUAAUUUACUUAAUAGGUAGGCAUUUAACAUACGGUAUUUUUAUAUGGUUUAUCUUAACAACUGCAACAUGACCCACAAUUUUAUGAACUCUUUACCAAUAGGUUUUAUUUAUCCCGAUUACCCCAAUCACUAUCCUUCGAAAAGGCUUAUCCUCUUGGUAAAAUACCCUUAAAAUCCAUAUAAGUAGGGUGUGAUAUAAAACUAUCCCAAUUCAAAAUCGCGUCACAUAAUAAACAAGAAAUUAAAGCAUCUUAAAGGGUCUAAUUUUUAGGACAUAUUAAUUUACUUAAUAGGUAGGCAUUGAACAUACGGUAUUUUUAUAUGGUAUAUCUUAACAACUGCAACAUGACCCACAACUUUAUGAACUCUUUACCAAUAGGUUUUAUUUAUCCCGAUUACCCCAAUCACUAUCCUUCGAAAAGGCUUAUCCUCUUGGUAAAAUACACUUAAAAUCCAUAUAGGUAGGGUGUGAUAUAAAACUAUCCCAAAUCAAAAUCGCGUCACAUAAUAAACAAGAAAUUAAAGCAUCUUAAAGGGUCUAAUUUUUAGGACAUAAAUUUACGUAAUAGGUAGGAAUUGAACACACGGUAUUUUUAUAUGGUAUAUCUUAACAACUGCAACAUGACCCACAACUUUAUGAACUCUUUACCAAUAGGUUUUAUUUAUCCCGAUUACCCCAAUCACUAUCCUUCGAAAAGGCUUAUCCUCUUGGUAAAAUACCCUUAAAAUCCAUAUAGGUAGGGUGUGAUAUAUAACUAUCCCAAAUCAAAAUCGCGUCACAUAAUAAACAAGAAAUUAAAGCAUCUUAAAGGGUCUAAUUUUUAGGACAUAUUAAUUUACUUAAUAGGUAGGAAUUGAACACACGGUAUUUUUAUAUGGCAUAUCUUAACAACUGCAACAUGACCCACACUUUUAUGAACUCUUUAAUAAUGGUUAUGAUAAAACCCGAUUACCUUAAUCAUUAUCCUUCGAAAAGGCUUAUCCUCUUGGUAAAAUACACUUAAAAUCCAUAUAGGUAAGGUGUGAUAUAAAUCGUUCCCAAUUCAAAAUCGCGUCACAUAAUAAACAAAAAGUUAAAGCAUCUUAAAAGGACUGAUUUUUAGGACAUAUUAAUUUACUUAAUAGGUAGGCAUUGAACAUACGGUAUUUUUAUAUGGUAUAUCUUAACAACUGCAACAUGACCCACACUUUUAUGAACUCUUUAAUAAUGGUUAUUAUAAAACCCGAUUACCUUAAUCAUUAUCCUUCGAAAAGGACAUGCAACAUGACCCACACUUUUAUGAACUCUUUAAUAAUGGUUUUGAUAAAACCCGAUUACCUUAAUCAUUAUCCUUCGAAAAGGCUUAUCCUCUUGGUAAAAUACACUUAAAAUCCAUAUAGGUAGGGUGUGAUAUAAAACAUUCCCAAUUCAAAAUCGCGUCUCGUAAUAAACAAGAAAUUAAAGCAUCUUAAAGGGUCUAAUUUUUAGGACAUACUAAUUUACUUAAUAGGUAGGCAUUUAACAUACGGUAUUUUUAUAUGGUUUAUCUUAACAACUGCAACAUGACCCACAAUUUUAUGAACUAUUUACCAAUAGGUUUUAUUUAUCCCGAUUACCCCAAUCACUAUCCUUCGAAAAGGCUUAUCCUCUUGGUAAAAUACCCUUAAAAUCCAUAUAAGUAGGGUGUGAUAUAAAACUAUCCCAAUUCAAAAUCGCGUCACAUAAUAAACAAGAAAUUAAAGCAUCUUAAAGGGUCUAAUUUUUAGGACAUAUUAAUUUACUUAAUAGGUAGGCAUUGAACAUACGGUAUUUUUAUAUGGUAUAUCUUAACAACUGCAACAUGACCCACAACUUUAUGAACUCUUUACCAAUAGGUUUUAUUUAUCCCGAUUACCCCAAUCACUAUCCUUCGAAAAGGCUUAUCCUCUUGGUAAAAUACCCUUAAAAUCCAUAUAAGUAGGGUGUGAUAUAAAACUAUCCCAAUUCAAAAUCGCGUCACAUAAUAAACAAGAAAUUAAAGCAUCUUAAAGGGUCUAAUUUUUAGGACAUAUUAAUUUACUUAAUAGGUAGGCAUUGAACAUACGGUAUUUUUAUAUGGUAUAUCUUAACAACUGCAACAUGACCCACAACUUUAUGAACUCUUUACCAAUAGGUUUUAUUUAUCCCGAUUACCCCAAUCACUAUCCUUCGAAAAGGCUUAUCCUCUUGGUAAAAUACACUUAAAAUCCAUAUAGGUAGGGUGUGAUAUAAAACUAUCCCAAAUCAAAAUCGCGUCACAUAAUAAACAAGAAAUUAAAGCAUCUUAAAGGGUCUAAUUUUUAGGACAUAAAUUUACGUAAUAGGUAGGAAUUGAACACACGGUAUUUUUAUAUGGUAUAUCUUAACAACUGCAACAUGACCCACAACUUUAUGAACUCUUUACCAAUAGGUUUUAUUUAUCCCGAUUACCCCAAUCACUAUCCUUCGAAAAGGCUUAUCCUCUUGGUAAAAUACCCUUAAAAUCCAUAUAGGUAGGGUGUGAUAUAUAACUAUCCCAAAUCAAAAUCGCGUCACAUAAUAAACAAGAAAUUAAAGCAUCUUAAAGGGUCUAAUUUUUAGGACAUAUUAAUUUACUUAAUAGGUAGGAAUUGAACACACGGUAUUUUUAUAUGGCAUAUCUUAACAACUGCAACAUGACCCACACUUUUAUGAACUCUUUAAUAAUGGUUAUGAUAAAACCCGAUUACCUUAAUCAUUAUCCUUCGAAAAGGCUUAUCCUCUUGGUAAAAUACACUUAAAAUCCAUAUAGGUAGGGUGUGAUAUAAAUCGUUCCCAAUUCAAAAUCGCGUCACAUAAUAAACAAAAAGUUAAAGCAUCUUAAAAGGACUGAUUUUUAGGACAUAUUAAUUUACUUAAUAGGUAGGAAUUGAACACACGGUAUUUUUAUAUGGCAUAUCUUAACAACUGCAACAUGACCCACAAUUUUAUGAACUCUUUAAUAAUGGUUAUGAUAAAACCCGAUUACCUUAAUCAUUAUCCUUCGAAAAGGCUUAUCCUCUUGGUAAAAUACACUUAAAAUCCAUAUAGGUAGGGUGUGAUAUAAAUCGUUCCCAAUUCAAAAUCGCGUCACAUAAUAAACAAAAAGUUAAAGCAUCUUAAAAGGACUGAUUUUUAGGACAUAUUAAUUUACUUAAUAGGUAGGAAUUGAACACACGGUAUUUUUAUAUGGCAUAUCUUAACAACUGCAACAUGACCCACAAUUUUAUGAACUCUUUAAUAAUGGUUAUGAUAAAACCCGAUUACCUUAAUCAUUAUCCUUCGAAAAGGCUUAUCCUCUUGGUAAAAUACACUUAAAAUCCAUAUAGGAAGGGGGUGAUAUAAAACUAUCCCAAUUCAAAAUCGCGUCACAUAAUAAACAAAAAGUUAAAGCAUCUUAAAAGGACUGAUUUUUAGGACAUAUUAAUUUACUUAAUAGGUAGGAAUUGAACACACGGUAUUUUUAUAUGGCAUAUCUUAACAACUGCAACAUGACCCACAAUUUUAUGAACUCUUUAAUAAUGGUUAUGAUAAAACCCAAUUACCUUAAUCAUUAUCCUUCGAAAACUCUUAUCCUCUUGGUAAAAUACACUUAAAAUCUAUAUAGGUAGGGUGUGAUAUAAAACGUUCCCAAUUUAAAAUCGCGUCACAUAAUAAACAAAAAGUUAAAGCAUCUUAAAAGGACUGAUUUUUAGGACAUAUUAAUUUACUUAAUAGGUAGGAAUUGAACACACGGUAUUUUUAUAUGGCAUAUCUUAACAACUGCAACAUGACCCACACUUUUAUGAACUCUUUAAUAAUGGUUAUGAUAAAACCCGAUUACCUUAAUCAUUAUCAUUCGAAAAGGCUUAUCCUCUUGGUAAAAUACACUUAAAAUCCAUAUAGGUAGGGUGUGAUAUAAAACGUUCCCAAUUCAAAAUCGCGUCACAUAAUAAACAAAGAGUUAAAGUAUCUUAAAAGGACUGAUUUAUAGGACAUAUUAAUUUACUUAAUAGGUAGGAAUUGAACACACGGUAUUUUUAUAUGGCAUAUCUUAACAACUGCAACAUGACCCACACUUUUAUGAACUCUUUAAUAAUGGUUAUGAUAAAACCCGAUUACCUUAAUCAUUAUCCUUCGAAAAGGCUUAUCCUCUUGGUAAAAUACACUUAAAAUCCAUAUAGGUAGGGUGUGAUAUAAAACUAUCCCAAUUCAAAAUCGCGUCACAUAAUUAACAAAAAGUUAAAGCAUCUUAAAAGGACUGAUUUUUAGGACAUAUUAAUUUACUUAAUAGGUAGGAAUUGAACACACGGUAUUUUUAUAUGGCAUAUCUUAACAACUGCAACAUGACCCACAACUUUAUGAACUCUUUACCAAUAGGUUUUAUUUAUCCCGAUUACCCCAAUCACUAUCCUUCGAAAAGGCUUAUCCUCUUGGUAAAAUACCCUUAAAAUCCAUAUAGGUAGGGUGUGAUAUAUAACUAUCCCAAAUCAAAAUCGCGUCACAUAAUAAACAAGAAAUUAAAGCAUCUUAAAGGGUCUAAUUUUUAGGACAUAUUAAUUUACUUAAUAGGUAGGAAUUGAACACACGGUAUUUUUAUAUGGCAUAUCUUAACAACUGCAACAUUACCCACAAUUUUAUGAACUCUUUAAUAAUGGUUAUGAUAAAACCCGAUUACCUUAAUCAUUAUCCUUCGAAAAGGCUUAUCCUCUUGGUAAAAUACACUUAAAAUCCAUAUAGGUAGGGUGUGAUAUAAAUCGUUCCCAAUUCAAAAUCGCGUCACAUUAUAAACAAAAAGUUAAAGCAUCUUAAAAGGACUGAUUUUUAGGACAUAUUAAUUUACUUAAUAGGUAGGAAUUGAACACACGGUAUUUUUAUAUGGCAUAUCUUAACAACUGCAACAUGACCCACAAUUUUAUGAACUCUUUAAUAAUGGUUAUGAUAAAACCCGAUUACCUUAAUCAUUAUCCUUCGAAAAGGCUUAUCCUCUUGGUAAAAUACACUUAAAAUCCAUAUAGGUAGGGUGUGAUAUAAAUCGUUCCCAAUUCAAAAUCGCGUCACAUUAUAAACAAAAAGUUAAAGCAUCUUAAAAGGACUGAUUUUUAGGACAUAUUAAUUUACUUAAUAGGUAGGAAUUGAACACACGGUAUUUUUAUAUGGCAUAUCUUAACAACUGCAACAUGACCCACAAUUUUAUGAACUCUUUAAUAAUGGUUAUGAUAAAACCCGAUUACCUUAAUCAUUAUCCUUCGAAAAGGCUUAUCCUCUUGGUAAAAUACACUUAAAAUCCAUAUAGGUAGGGUGUGAUAUAAAACGUUCCCAAUUCAAAAUCGCGUCACAUAAUAAACAAAGAGUUAAAGUAUCUUAAAAGGACUGAUUUAUAGGACAUAUUAAUUUACUUAAUAGGUAGGAAUUGAACACACGUUAUUUUUAUAUGGUAUAUCUUAACAACUGCAAACAUGCCCCACAAUUUUAUGAACUCUUUAAUAAUGGUUAUGAUAAAACCCGAUUACCUUAAUCAUUAUCCUUCGAAAAGGCUUAUCCUCUUGGUAAAAUACACUUAAAAUCUAUAUAGGUAGGGUGUGAUAUAAAACGUUCCCAAUUUAAAAUCGCGUCACAUAAUAAACAAGAAAUUAAAGCAUCUUAAAGGGUCUAAUUUUUAGGAUAUAUUAAUUUACUUAAUAGGUAGGAAUUGAACACACGGUAUUUUUAUAUGGCAUAUCUUAACAACUGCAACAUGACCCACACUUUUAUGAACUCUUUAAUAAUGGUUAUGAUAAAACCCGAUUACCUUAAUCAUUAUCCUUCGAAAAGGCUUAUCCUCUUGGUAAAAUACACUUAAAAUCCAUAUAGGUAGGGUGUGAUAUAAAACUAUCCCAAUUCAAAAUCGCGUCACAUAAUAAACAAAAAGUUAAAGCAUCUUAAAAGGACUGAUUUUUAGGACAUAUUAAUUUACUUAAUAGGUAGGAAUUGAACACACGGUAUUUUUAUAUGGCAUAUCUUAACAACUGCAACAUGACCCACACUUUUAUGAACUCUUUAAUAAUGGUUAUGAUAAAACCCGAUUACCUUAAUCAUUAUCCUUCGAAAAGGCUUAUCCUCUUGGUAAAAUACACUUAAAAUCCAUAUAGGUAGGGUGUGAUAUAAAACUAUCCCAAUUCAAAAUCGCGUCACAUAAUUAACAAAAAGUUAAAGCAUCUUAAAAGGACUGAUUUUUAGGACAUAUUAAUUUACUUAAUAGGUAGGAAUUGAACACACGGUAUUUUUAUAUGGCAUAUCUUAACAACUGCAACAUGACCCACAAUUAUAUGAACUCUUUAAUAAUGGUUAUGAUAAAACCCAAUUACCUUAAUCAUUAUCCUUCGAAAACUCUUAUCCUCUUGGUAAAAUACACUUAAAAUCUAUAUAGGUAGGGUGUGAUAUAAAACGUUCCCAAUUUAAAAUCGCGUCACAUAAUAAACAAGAAAUUAAAGCAUCUUAAAGGGUCUAAUUUUUAGGAUAUAUUAAUUUACUUAAUAGGUAGGAAUUGAACAUACGGUAUUUUUAUAUGGUAUAUCUAAACAACUGCAACAUGACCCACAAUUUUAUGAACUCUUGAAUAAUGGUUAUGAUAAAACCCGAUUACCUUAAUCAUUAUCCUUCGAAAAGGCUUAUCCUCUUGGUAAAAUACACUUAAAAUCCAUAUAGGUAGGGUGUGAUAUAAAAAUAUCCCAAUUCAAAAUCGCGUCACAUAAUAAACAAGAAAUCAAAUCAUCUAAAAGGUCUAAUUUUUAGGAUAUAUUAAUUUACUUAAUAGGUAGGCAUUAAACAUACGGUAUUUUUAUAUGGUAUAUCUUAACAACUGCAACAUGACCCACAAUUUUAUGAACUCUAUAACAAUAGGUUUUAUUUAUCCCGAUUACCCCAAUCACUAUCCUUCGAAAAUAAAUUUUAAAAUAAAUAAAAAUAAACUUUAAAUCCAUAUAGGUUGGGUGUAUUACACAAGGGUCUCAAUUUAAAAUCGCGUCUCAUAAUAAACAAAACAUAAAGCAACUUAAAAGGUGUGAUUUUUGAGACAUGCUAAUUUAAUAUCCGUCGAAAAGGAAUAUGCUCUUGGUCAAAUAAACUUUCCAAUUCAAAUGUCCGUAACCUAUGAUUUAAGAUAAUAUCCUACUUACAUCCUACACUUACAUUAUUUUUUUUUUUUUGUGUUAUUUUAUAUCAACCACAAUAAUACAAGCCCCUCAAUUAUAUGUAUGAUAUAUUUCGAUUACCCCAAACCAAAAAGUAAAACUAGAUUUGGAUUAGGAUUUUAAAAGAAUGACAACAUAUAAUGUAGGACUCUGAGAUUAACAGCAUAUCUUUGUGCAUUUUAUGUUGUAAUUUGAAAUUGUUUUUGUUUUACUUCUUAUUUGUAUAAUUUAUUCAUUUAUGCGACCUCAAUUUUGAGUUCUAGUAUUUUUGUGUUUAUAAUGUGUUUGUGUGGAUUGAGUCAAAAAUGAUUAAUGUCGCAUUCAUUUGUAAAGGAAUAGUUGCUUGGAAAUAAAAAAAACACGAAAACUAAUAACGUAAUAUACCCUAUUACCCUGGUAAUUAUUUUGAAAAUUCAAUAGAAAAUUUGAAAAGAAAAUUACCGAAAUGAACAAGGGAAAACAGUUUAAAAUUAACAAUUUACUGAACAAGUUUAAACUAAAGAAAUCCGCCCGCAUUCAAGCUUGGAUACGUAAUUAUUACAAAAAUAAGCUGAACGAAAAUAACAAAAGGAUUCACUUAAAACUAUUGAACCAAAAAUGGCUUUAACAAUUAAAGUUAGACGCAACAAGUUAUAAAACAGGAAUUGUAUGAAAUCACGAAACUUAAAAAAAUUAAUAUUAAUUGAUGAUCCACAAUAAUUAUCCACAAUAACCAUCAUUUUUGAAAAGGCAGGGUGCCCGGGUCUUUUACGGUCGUUUUAUAAAAACCAAGGGAAUUAUUCAUUGCAUUCCUUAAGCAUGAUAUUGAAGUUAUAGCUACUACUGUCAUAUUACACUUAAAAACCAAAAAAGCUUAAACUUGGUAAUGUGUACUCCAAUUCCAUUUAAAUCAACACGAUUCUUAAAACUCCUCAACAUUAUACGGGUUUUUCCCAUUUAACCGAAAUCUUGACUGGCGAAACGUAUAUGUAUAUCCUUACAAAUUAUGAAUGAAAUUAUCAGGAAAUAUUCAUGGCACCUUACGAAUUGCAUGUGCCAAUAAUCUUGACAGAGAAAAUUACAAACAUAAGAUCAUUUACAUUUUUAUGAAUGCACUGGAAGUAUGUAACCUGAAGAGGACCCCAACCGUAUUAACCCUCAAAAUGGAUAAACUACCAAUUUUUGAAUAAAUUCAAUACAAGGUAGAAAAAAAUCUAAGGAAAACCACAAAUUUGUAAACGAUCUAACAAAUGUUUUUAAAAGAAAAUAACGAAGUUCCUGAAAUAUCUUCGAUCAUAAAGCAUAACAGCAGCUGAAAAUAGCGUGCUUAGCUUAUUUACAAUGUUGGAUUAAAUUCUUCUCACAAAGUAUUCUGCAAUAAUCACACGAAUUAUAAACCAAUUAAAAACUCAGCAAUUAAAACACUCUUAUCUAACUCGCCUAAACCCACUCUCUCUGAAAACUAAAUAUAUUCGAACUUAGACGACAAUUUUUUCUUCAUAAAAAACACUUAAAAUGAGUUUCACAUUGGGACAUGAGUCUUCAGACAAAUUAUUGAUGAAUUACCGAUGGCAAUAUAUUCAACAUAAUUAUACCACACUUAUUUUUCGUAAUUUUGUGCAUACUACCUCAAUUUCGUUGAUGUACAAUACAAUGAUUGACGGUCUUGGUAUGAUUUGGAAUGCUUAAAAAGCUUAUGAAGUCACUAUGAAAACUAUUAACAUUUUUCAGUUGUGCAAGAUAUUUUUAGUUCUAUUUAAAAUGCAAAUGGGAAACUUGCUUUUUAAAAAACGGUUGAAGAAUUAAUUUUCAAUGCAAUGGAAUCUUAUCAUCAAAACUGCACUUUGAAUGUUACAAGAAAAGUAAAACAGUAUGAAUAGUAAUGUUAAUGUUCUGUUUUCACUCACAAUAACCGUAAAUGUGGUAUAUCUAACUUAAUGGACAUUUUAUGGUAGUUCGUUUCUGCUCAAAUACUUUUCUCUUUGCACGGCAUUUCUAUCCUAUAACUUCAAACAAAUGACUGCGCAGUAUUAACCAUAUAAAGCCUUAAUAGCAAUAUUUCUGAUUUUUAUAUUGUUCCAAAACCUUAAAAAUUGUAAUAGCAUCUUAUGUGUUACUUCACACACACACACCAUAAUUCCUCUCCACUUGAUAACAAUGUCCCAUCCCAUCGAUACAUUAAAUAGACUUUGGUUCUUCGCUGAAUUUUAUGCAUACAAAAAGUACAUGAAAUAACGCAUUUGUUAAAAUAAUAUAAUAUAUUAUUAUUCUAAAGAUUCCCAACAAAAACAUAAGGAAAUUUAAAAAAAUCCUUAAAUGCACCACUAUAUUGGCCAAGACAAAUCAACACUACGGACAUAACCAAUUUUCUGGCAAACUGCAAGUGCCCUAUAUAAUAAUAUAAAGUAUAUAAUAUGCUAUACUCAAUAAAGCACACUUAUCUUUGCAAAUUUGAGUACUUUACUACACUGCAAACAUUUGCUCUCAUCGUAAAUGAUCUUCCCAACAUAAACAUUAUUAAUAACUCGUCGGGGAAUGGGAGGAGUUGAUAUACAUUUCUGGCAUUACAACCAUUGAUCUAAAUUGAAACAUAUGUCUUAAACGUAUGUAUUAAGUGCACUGAUCCAAAACUAUUGGAUUAUUAUUAGAUAUUGGCUUCUAAAAAUUUGACAAUGAAAAGACUUGGUAAACUUCAAUUUCUAUAAUCCAAAUACAUGGAUUAGAUGUGAUAAUGAUUUGUACCCAUUAAAAGGCUUGUUAUUAUGAAACACUAGAAGACCAAUUUCCGAAUCAUACAAACAAACUAAAUACGUACGCAUUAAUAUUAUGGUAUUCUUUAUUUGAUAACUCUUCACAAUUACAACAUGAACAGCGCCCCUCAAUAUUAGGUACGAUAUAUAUUGAAAUAUAUUGCCUAACUUACGAUAUUUUCUGGAACUUUUAAUACGAGUUAUUUAAAAAACGACAACAUAAAUUAACAAUAAUAUGAGUUUUUUACAAAUAGGUACUAUACAUCUUGAUCCAUAUGGGUAAGGUGUGAUAUUAAACUGUCCAAAUCAAGAUCUCUCCCAUUAUAAACUAAAAUAUAAACCCACAUGAAAGGCAGAAUUUAAAAGGCAUAGGCAUCGAACUAAACGUUAAACUUACGUUAUUUUUUAUAAAUAUAAAAAUAAUAAGUAUAUCAAUAAUAUUUAUUACUUAUCUCGAUUAUUACAAUAAUAUAUUACAAUAAUAUUAUUAUCUUCAAUAAUAUCUACGAUUCAUCAAAAUUUAAAGUAACUUGAAAGGUCGGAUUUUUAAGACAUACUAAUUUAAUUAACAGAUAGGCGAUGAACAUACGGUUUUUUAUAUUGGCAGAUGCAACAUGACCCACAAUUAUAUGAACUCUUCAACAAUAUGUACAUACAUAUGUUUAAUCUCGAUUGCACCAAUCAUCAUCCGUCGAAAAGGGUUAGCCUCUUGGUAAAAUAAACUUUCCAAUUUUAAUUUCCCUAACCUAUGAUUCAAGAUAAUAUGUAGGAUAUAAACUUACAUUAUUCUUUUUUUGGUAUAUUAUAUCAACCACAAUAAUACAGGCCCAUCAAUAAUAUGUAUGAUAUAUUUCGAUUAUCCCAAACCUAAAAGAUAACUAGAUUUUAUGCAUUGUGCAUUUUAUGUUGUAAUUAAAAAUUUCGUUUUUUACUUCUAACUUAUAUAAUUUAUUCAUUUAUGCGACCUCAAUUUUGAGUUCUAGUAUUUUUGUGAUUUUAUUGUGUUCGUGUCGAUUGAGUCAAAAAUGCUUAAUGUCGCAUUCAUUUGAAAAGGAAUAGUUGCUUGGAAAUAAAAAAACACGAAAACUAAUAAAGUAAUAUACCCUAUUACUCUGGUAAUUAUUUUAAAAAUAUAACAGAAAAUUUGAAAAGAAAAUUACCAAAAUGAACAAGGGAAAACAGUUUAAAAUACACAACUUACUGAACAAGUAAAGAAAUCCGCCGCGCAUUCAAGCUUGGAUCCGUAAUUAUUACAAAAAUAAGCUGAACGAAAAUAACAAAAGGAUUCACUUAAAACUAAACUAAAGCCAAAAAUGGCUUUAACAAUUAAAGUUAGACGCAACAAGUUAUAAAACAGGAAUUGUAUGAAAUCACGAAACUUAAAAAAAAUUAAUAUUAAUUGAUGAUCCACAAUAAUUAUCCACAAUAACCAUCAUUUUUGAAAAGGCAGGGUGCACGGGUCUUUUACGUUCGUUUUAUAAAAACCAAGGGAAUUAUUCACUGGAUUCCUUAAACAUGAUAUUGAAGUAAUACCCACUACUGUUAUAUUACACAUAAAAUACAAAAAAGCUGAAACUUGGUAAUCUGCACGUCAAUUACAUUUUAAUCACCAAGAUCCUUAAAACUCCUCAACAAUAUACGUUGGGGUUUUCCCACUUAGCCGAAAUAUUGACUGGCGAAAUUAUGAAUACAAAUUUUGAAUGAAAUUAUCAAAAUUGCUCGUGCCAAUAAUCUUGACAGAGAAAGAUACAAUCAUAAGAUCAUUUAAAUUUUUAAGAAAUCGGAAGUAUGUAGCAUGAAGGGGACCCCAACCGUAUUAACAUUCAACUACAAAAUUUAAAACAAAUUCAAUAUAAAGUACUGAAAAUUUGUAAACGAUCUUACAAAUGUUUUUAAAUGAAAAUAACGAAGGUCCUGAAAUAUCUUCGACUACUUAUCAUAAAGCAUAACAGCAGCUGAAAAUAGCGUGCUUAGCUUAUUUACAAAGUUGGAUUAAAUUCUUCUCAUUCGCUGGAUUAAAUUCAGCUUCUGCAAUAAUCACACCACCUGCGAAAUGUAAACCAGUUAUAAACUCAGCAAUUAAAACACUCUGAUCUAACUCGCGUAAGGCUUUUCUCUUUAAAAACUAAUGCUAUUCAAAAUUGGACAACGAUUUGUUUCUUCAUAAAUAACAUUUAAAAUGAGUUUCGCAUUGGGACAUGAGUCUUCAGAUAAAUUAUUGAUGAAUUACCGAUGGCAAUAUAUUCAACAUAAUUAUACCACACUUAUUUUUCGUAAUUUGGUGCAUACUACCUCAAUUUCGUUGAUGUAUGUACAAAUACAAUGAUUGAAAAAUUUGGAAUGCUUAAAAAGCUAGCUUAUGAAGUUAUUAUGCUAUUUUGUAGUUUUACUAAAAAUGCAAAUGGGAAACUUGCUUCUUAAAAUAUCGGUUGAAGAAUAAAAAUGCCCCAUUGAAUGUUGCUAGAAAUAUAAAACAAUUAUGAGUGUUAAUUUACAUGUUCUGUUUUCACUCACAUAAACCGUAUAUCUACCGUCUAUAUCUAACUUAAUGGACAUAUGGUAGUUUGUUUCUGCUCAAAUACUUUCCUCUUUGCACGGCAUUUUUAAAGUUAGAGUUCCAACAAAUGACUACGCUGUAUUAACAAUAAUAGCAAUAAUAGCAAUAUUGCUGAUUUUCAUAUUAUCCCAAAACCUUAAAAAUGGUAAUAUCAUCUUAUAUUUUACUUCACACGCACAGACACACCAUAAUUCCUCUCCACUUGAUAACAAUGUCCCAUACCAUUCUACUGGUUUUUGUCACUAUGAUUUGUAUUAAAUAGUCCUCCUUUGAUACAUUAAAUAGACUUUGGUUCUUCGCUGGAUUUUAUGCAUACGAAAGGAACAUGAAAUAACAAAAACGCAUUUGUUAAAAUAAUAUAUUAUAUUAUUAUUCAAAAGAUUCCCAACAAAUACAUAAGGAAAUGUAAGAAAAUCCUUAAAUGCACCACUAUAUUGGCCAAGACAAAUCAACACUACGGACAUAACCAAUUUUCUGGCGAACUGCAAGUGCCCUCUGCACACUAUUUCACCUAAUAUAUAAUAUGCUCUACUCAAUCAAGCUUUUACUCAUCUUUGCAAAUUUGUGUACUUCACUACUACAAACAUUUGCAUUCGACCAAAAUGAUCGCAACUUAAAGAUUUUUCAUAACUCGUCCAUGAAUGAGAUGAGUUGAAAUGCAUAUUACGGAAAUACAACCACGGAUGAAUAUGUACAAACAUAAUUAUGUAGUUAUGUUGUCCUAACUAAAAAUAAUUAAGUUAUUGUUUUCUAAAACAUACAUACCAAAAUUGGUAAAAGAGAUUUGUUCAUACUGCGUCGAAUCCCUAACUAUCAUGAAAUAAAUGGCUUUCAAAAAUCUGUCUUGCACUGAAAUGAAGGAAACAACUAAUACAUUAAAGCUUCACUAGUAUAUUUAAAAUUACCAGAUUGGAAGACUUUCAAAAUUUUGUUUAUUAAUUCCAUCGCUAUCCUUGAUUUUUGUGUUUUUGCCCUUUCAUUAUUGUUGCUUAUCCUUGUACUUGUAAUUUCUGAUUUUAUUGUUGUUCUGGUAUUGUAUGGAUGUGGGUUUCGGUCGUAUUAUAUGGAUAUUUAAUAGCACGAGUCUAUUCCAAAUAUUGAAUCUUACUUAUAUCUUGUUUGAUCUUCACUUUUUACUUAACAUAUUUGGCCUAAAACCAACUUUAUUGGUAUUUCUGCGGAAUUUAUAAUUCAUGAUUUGGAUUUAAGGGAACCGCAUCCCCCAAAUACUUUGAAAAUCCCUUCCUUUUCGUACGUACAAAAAAGCAUCAGGUUUUCGGGUGAGGUUUCUGAUGCUUUGUCUCUUAAGUUUUUCCUAACAAUUAAACCCUAUGUCGGUAUUACGAAUACCAUCAAAAAACCUCACCCACCAAAUGUAUGACCAGAGAGAUAAAAAUUUCAAUAAACAACGUGGCAGUCUUGACCAAUUCAAUGACUUCUACGAUGAUUACGCAACCUACCGAAGAAAGGAUGUGACCAGUGCUUCUACAAGGAUGUCGAUGAGAAGGAUGCUUUAACUACGCCCUAAAAUAUUGAAGUUGGCUCCUUCAAACCAUGGGACUGCGAACUCGACUGAAAUAAAAAUAUGUUAACAACAAAACUUGAAUGUGUUUUUUUUACUAUAAUUUUACUAUAUUAUUUCACUUAAUAUUUGCAGUUACUUGUAAGGCAUUACAGAUACGGCGGUGUACAUUUCCACGCAUGUGCAUAUAUUUUUGUGAUGCCAUAGUUUCCAAUCCUUCAUUGGCUUUCAAUCAAAUCAACAGCCAUCUGCAAAACUUUAGAUGCCUAGCGAUCUUUUAAUCCGAUCCAGCCAAUCCAAAAGAGGCAACUCCGAAAAUAAAUAGAACACAAAUGUAAUUCAGAUACGUAGAGACUCCCCAGACUCCAACAACCAUCCACCAAAGAAAGUUUCCACCCACAGAACUUAUCGAAUAUCGUCGUUGUGGCCACGAAAUCCAUAAGAUUUGGAAGUUCCACCGUUUUCUGAAGCUAAGCUCUACGAACGCCAAAACUAUAGGCCUAUGAUCAUUCCGACUGUCUAAUGGAGUCUGUGGCACUUGAUUCUCCACAUGGCGUUGAUUGUUUGGACGGUUCGAUAAGUCGUGGAGAUCUUUAGCGAUGUAUUACAAAGUGCAUAGCGGCCCGCAGCAACUUGAACCGCAUACCGUCGUUUCGAAGUAAUAUGCUUCGCAGGAUUUCGAUGGCAGAACGAUGUGUCAGCAACAAGGAUAUAGCCAGGAACCUGUCAUUAAACCUACAGUACAACGCUGUCAUUUUAACCUAACGUCCUGGCUGAACGGAGACAAAUUCAUCCUGCGCAAGCUGGAAAUUUUAGGUUCUGCAGUCUACAUUAAUUGCAUUAUG